CACUAUUUACCGCCGGGUAAUCAAGCAUUGAAGUUCAUAUCGUAGGCCUUUGAAGAUAUGAGCAUCGAUGCUUUUUUUUG
rnacentral:ncRNA from 1 species